rnacentral:rRNA from 1 species
UACGUAGGGGGCAAGCGUUGUCCGGAAUUAUUGGGCGUAAAGCGCGCGCAGGCGGCUUUGUAAGUUUGGUGUUUAAGCUCAGAGCUCAACUCUGAUUCGCAUCGAAAACUGCAAGGCUUGAGUACAGAAGAGGAAAGUGGAAUUCCACGUGUAGCGGUGAAAUGCGUAGAGAUGUGGAGGAACACCAGUGGCGAAGGCGACUUGCUGGGCUGUAACUGACGCUGAGGCGCGAAAGCGUGGGGAGCAAACAGG